rnacentral:rRNA from 1 species
UACGUAGGGACCAAGCGUUGUUCGGAUUUACUGGGCGUAAAGCGUGCGCAGGCGGUUUUGUAAGCCAGAUGUGAAAUCCCGAGGCUCAACCUCGGAACUGCCUUUGAUACUGCAAAUCUCGAGUCCGGAAGAGGUGAGUGGAAUUCCUAGUGUAGAGGUGAAAUUCGUAGAUAUUAGGAAGAACACCAGUGGCGAAGGCGGCUCACUGGUCCGGUACUGACGCUGAGGUGCGAAAGCGUGGGGAGCAAACAGGG